rnacentral:rRNA from 1 species
UUGAACGCUGGCGGCAGGCCUAACACAUGCAAGUCGAGCGGUAGCACAGAGAGCUUGCUCUCGGGUGACGAGCGGCGGACGGGUGAGUAAUGUCUGGGAAACUGCCUGAUGGAGGGGGAUAACUACUGGAAACGGUAGCUAAUACCGCAUAACGUCGCAAGACCAAAGUGGGGGACCUUCGGGCCUCAUGCCAUCAGAUGUGCCCAGAUGGGAUUAGCUAGUAGGUGGGGUAACGGCUCACCUAGGCGACGAUCCCUAGCUGGUCUGAGAGGAUGACCAGCCACACUGGAACUGAGACACGGUCCAGACUCCUACGGGAGGCAGCAGUGGGGAAUAUUGCACAAUGGGCGCAAGCCUGAUGCAGCCAUGCCGCGUGUGUGAAGAAGGCCUUCGGGUUGUAAAGCACUUUCAGCGGGGAGGAAGGCGAUAAGGUUAAUAACCUUGUCGAUUGACGUUACCCGCAGAAGAAGCACCGGCUAACUCCGUGCCAGCAGCCGCGGUAAUACGGAGGGUGCAAGCGUUAAUCGGAAUUACUGGGCGUAAAGCGCACGCAGGCGGUCUGUCAAGUCGGAUGUGAAAUCCCCGGGCUCAACCUGGGAACUGCAUUCGAAACUGGCAGGCUAGAGUCUUGUAGAGGGGGGUAGAAUUCCAGGUGUAGCGGUGAAAUGCGUAGAGAUCUGGAGGAAUACCGGUGGCGAAGGCGGCCCCCUGGACAAAGACUGACGCUCAGGUGCGAAAGCGUGGGGAGCAAACAGGAUUAGAUACCCUGGUAGUCCACGCCGUAAACGAUGUCGAUUUGGAGGUUGUGCCCUUGAGGCGUGGCUUCCGGAGCUAACGCGUUAAGUCGACCGCCUGGGGAGUACGGCCGCAAGGUUAAAACUCAAAUGAAUUGACGGGGGCCCGCACAAGCGGUGGAGCAUGUGGUUUAAUUCGAUGCAACGCGAAGAACCUUACCUGGUCUUGACAUCCACAGAACUUUCCAGAGAUGGAUUGGUGCCUUCGGGAACUGUGAGACAGGUGCUGCAUGGCUGUCGUCAGCUCGUGUUGUGAAAUGUUGGGUUAAGUCCCGCAACGAGCGCAACCCUUAUCCUUUGUUGCCAGCGGUUAGGCCGGGAACUCAAAGGAGACUGCCAGUGAUAAACUGGAGGAAGGUGGGGAUGACGUCAAGUCAUCAUGGCCCUUACGACCAGGGCUACACACGUGCUACAAUGGCAUAUACAAAGAGAAGCGACCUCGCGAGAGCAAGCGGACCUCAUAAAGUAUGUCGUAGUCCGGAUUGGAGUCUGCAACUCGACUCCAUGAAGUCGGAAUCGCUAGUAAUCGUAGAUCAGAAUGCUACGGUGAAUACGUUCCCGGGCCUUGUACACACCGCCCGUCACACCAUGGGAGUGGGUUGCAAAAGAAGUAGGUAGCUUAACCUUCGGGAGGGCGCUUACCACUUUGUGAUUCAUGACUGGGGUG